CCUACGGGGGACAGCAGUGAGGAAUAUUGGUCAAUGGUCGGGAGACUGAACCAGCCAAGCCGCGUGAGGGAUGAAGGUACAGAGUAUCGUAAACCUCUUUUGUCAGGGAACAAAGGCGGGGACGCGUCCCCGGAUGAGUGUACCUGACGAAAAAGCAUCGGCUAACUCCGUGCCAGCAGCCGCGGUAAUACGGAGGAUGCGAGCGUUAUCCGGAUUUAUUGGGUUUAAAGGGUGCGCAGGCGGUCUGUUAAGUCAGCGGUCAAAGCCCGGGGCUCAACCCGGGCCCGCCGUUGAAACUGGCAGUCUUGAGUUGGAGAGAAGUAGGCGGAAUGCGCGGUGUAGCGGUGAAAUGCAUAGAUAUCGCGCAGAACUCCGAUUGCGAAGGCAGCAUGCCGGCUCCACACUGACGCUGAGGCACGAAAGCGUGGGUAUCGAACAGGAUUAGAUACCCUGGUAGUC
rnacentral:rRNA from 1 species